rnacentral:snRNA from 1 species
AUCGCUUCUCGGCCUUUUGGCUAAGAUCAAGUGUAGUAUCUGUUCUUAUCAGUUUAAUAUGUGUAUUUUAUGUACCUAUAUGCUCAAUAUUGUGUAAAAAUUUCUCAGGCAAAAAGAGGGAAGGAACAGAA